UACGUAGGGUGCAAGCGUUGUCCGGAUUUAUUGGGCGUAAAGAGCUCGUAGGCGGUUUGCCGCGUCUGCUGUGAAAACUCGGGGCUUAACCCCGGGCCUGCAGUGGGUACGGGCAGACUAGAGUGCGGUAGGGGGAGACUGGAUUCCUGGUGUAGCGGUGAAAUGCGCAGAUAUCAGGAGGAACACCGGUGGCGAAGGCGGGUCUCUGGGCCGUAACUGACGCUGAGGAGCGAAAGCAUGGGGAGCGAACAGG
rnacentral:rRNA from 1 species